AGACCUAUCCCCGCCGUUCCCAUAUGUCCUGUGGGGUCUUCAUCCCAUAUGGACCUGACCCCACUGAGCCACUUGGGGUCCUGAUCCCAUAGAGACCCAUCCCUGCCGUUCCCUUUCAGCCUUGGGGUCCUGAUCCCAUAGGAUCCCAUCCCCACUGUGGAUGUUUUCCCUUUGGGGUCUCAAUCCCGUGGAGACCCACCCCCACCGUUCCCAUAUGUCCUGUGGGGUCUUCAUCCCAUAUGGACCUGACCCCAUUGAGCCCUUUGGGGUCCUGAUCCCAUGGAGACCCAUCCCCGCUGUUCCCAUAUGUCCUGUGGGGUCUUCAUCCCAUAUGGACCUGACCCCACUGAGCCACUUGGGGUCCUGAUCCCAUAGGAUCCCAUCCCCACUGGGGUCGGUGCCCUUUGGGGUCUCAGUCCCAUGGGGUCCCCCCCCACCGUCCCCAUUCACCCCGUGGGCUCACAGGAUCCCAUCCCACUGCAGAUGUGAUGUGCGUCCUUUGGGGUCCUGGUCCCAGGACGUCCAUCCGUGUGUCCCCAAGGUGUCCGUGUGUCCCACAUGUCCCUGUCCCCAUGAUGCCCACGUGUCCCAUGUCAUCCUGUCCCAAGGUGUCCAUGUGUCCCACAUGUCCCUGUCCCCAAGAUGUCCUUUUAUGGGUCCCACACUGCCUUGUCCCCAAGGUGUCUGUGUGUCCCCGUCCCCAAGAUGCCCAUAGGUGUCCACACAGCUUUGUCCCCAGGAUGCCAUCCAGUGUCCCCCGUGUCCCUGUCCCCAAGACAUCCAUCCAUGUGUCCCACGUGUCCCUGUCCCCAAGACAUCCAUCCAUGUGUCCCACGUGUCCCUGUCCCCAAGAUGUCCCUCUAUGGGUCCCACACUGCCUUGUCCCCAAGGUGUCCGUGUGUCCUCUGUGUCCCUGUCCCCAAGGUGUCCCUCUAUGGGUCCCAAUACUGCCUUGUCCCCAAGGUGUCUGUGUGUCCCUGUCCCCAGGACGUCCAUCCAUGUCCCCAAUGUGUCCCCAUCCCCGAGACGUCCGUCCGUGUGUCCCACAUGCUCCUGUCCCCAGGGUGUCCGUGUGUCCCACACAGCUUUGUCCCCAAGGUGUCCAUCCAUGUGCCCUACGUGUCCCAUGUCAUCCUGUCCCCAGGAUGCCAUCCAUGUGUCCCUGUGUCCCUGUCCCCAAGAUGUCCUUUUAUGGGUCCCACACUACCUUGUCCCCAAGGUGUCUGUGUGUCCCCGUCCCCAAGAUGCCCAUAGGUGUCCACACAGCUUUGUCCCCAGGAUGCCAUCCAGUGUCCCCCGUGUCCCUGUCCCCACGCUGUCCUUUUAUGGGUCCCAUGUGCUUUUGUCCCCAACAUGUCCGUGUGUCAGGAUGUCCGUCCGUGUGUCCCACACAGCUUUGUCCCCAAGCUGUCCAUCCCAGUACCCACAUGGUGGCCCCACGGUGCCCACGCCCAGGUAAUCAGACACAAAACCCCCCAAAACCCCCACAAACCCAUCAUCUCUGAGAAAACCUCUUUAAAUACAGCAGCACAGAAAAGGGCCGUGGGGGCAGCGGCGUCAGCACUGCGCCGCGUCCUCAAAGCUGGGGUUGGCGAAGGCUGCGCCCCACACCGCGCCGGCCUUGGUGCCCUCCGUGCCACCGGGUUUGGUGUCACCAACGUCAACUGUGGUGCCCUCUGUGCCAAACCUGGUGCCCCCCGUGCCAAAUCCAGUGCCCCCUGUGCCGGAUCUGGUGUCUUCAGUACCGGAUCUGGUGCCCUCCACGUCAUCUUUGAUGCCCUCCAUGCCAUCUUUGGUGCCCUCCACGCUGAGCGGUGCGGGACCUGCGGGCGCAGCGGGACGGGGUCACCCCCAGAUGGUGGGACGGGGGACCCUUGGGGUGGGGGGGGCGGGGGGGGGGUCCGGGGUCCGCACCCAUGUAGCUGAGCAGGACGGGCAGGAAGACGAGGCCGUGAGCGAGGCCCACCAGCGUGAUGAUGAAAUUGAGACGGAAGAAGAAGAUCUGGAUGAGCUGCGCUUUGGCGAAGGCCAAAACCACGACGCCCGGCAGGUUGGUCAUGGCCACCCCGGCCACCACCUGGCAUCGGGGACACGUGGGGUGAGGCGUGGGGCGAGGCGUGGGGCGAGGUUCGGGGUGACCCACGCGUCCCCGCGCCCCACACCUUGCUGCCCAUGUUGAUGGUGGCCUCGGCCGCGCGCUCCACGCGGGUGGG
ensembl:lncRNA